AGUCGUAACAAGGUUUCCGUAGGUGAACCUGCGGAAGGAUCAUUACCGAGUGAGGGCCCUCUGGGUCCAACCUCCCACCCGUGUUUAUUUUACCUUGUUGCUUCGGCGGGCCCGCCUUAACUGGCCGCCGGGGGGCUUACGCCCCCGGGCCCGCGCCCGCCGAAGACACCCUCGAACUCUGUCUGAAGAUUGUAGUCUGAGUGAAAAUAUAAAUUAUUUAAAACUUUCAACAACGGAUCUCUUGGUUCCGGCAUCGAUGAAGAACGCAGCGAAAUGCGAUACGUAAUGUGAAUUGCAAAUUCAGUGAAUCAUCGAGUCUUUGAACGCACAUUGCGCCCCCUGGUAUUCCGGGGGGCAUGCCUGUCCGAGCGUCAUUUCUGCCCUCAAGCACGGCUUGUGUGUUGGGCCCCGUCCUCCGAUCCCGGGGGACGGGCCCGAAAGGCAGCGGCGGCACCGCGUCCGGUCCUCGAGCGUAUGGGGCUUUGUCACCCGCUCUGUAGGCCCGGCCGGCGCUUGCCGAUCAACCCAAAUUUUUAUCCAGGUUGACCUCGGAUCAGGUAGGGAUACCCGCUGAACUUAAGCAUAUCAAUAAGCGGAGGA
rnacentral:misc_RNA from 1 species